AAUCAAAAGAGGAGUUUUUUUGUAGCUGAAAAGCAAUGUGUUUUUCAACAGAGUAUUUUUCUGAUAUGGCAGUUAAUGCACAAAGAAAUGCGAAUAAAUUGAACACGAUACUGAACCGUGGCAAAAGCAGAGGCAGGAACCAUCUUCAAAGAUUUCAGUCAAUUAUAUUGCCUCUGAUGGAACUUCCAAGAUAGAAACAGUCUUUCCUACCUGGUUUAAUGUGAAGAAGAAGAUAUUGCUUGUGUGCAGGUAGUUUCAACACUACCAAGUAAAUGGGAACCACCAGGUAUAUGCAAAAUAUUUGUAAGACAUUUCAAGUCGCAAAAAAUGCAGCCAGUGAGAUGUUUAAUACCAUUA